AGAGUUUGAUCCUGACUCAGGAUGAACGCCGGCGGUGUGCCUAAUACAUGCAAGUCGUACGCACUGGCCCAACUGAUUGAUGGUGCUUGCACCUGAUUGACGAUGGAUCACCAGUGAGUGGCGGACGGGUGAGUAACACGUAGGUAACCUGCCUCGGAGCGGGGGAUAACAUUUGGAAACAGAUGCUAAUACCGCAUAACAACAAAAGCCACAUGGCUUUUGUUUGAAAGAUGGCUUUGGCUAUCACUCUGGGAUGGACCUGCGGUGCAUUAGCUAGUUGGUAAGGUAACGGCUUACCAAGGCAAUGAUGCAUAGCCGAGUUGAGAGACUGAUCGGCCACAAUGGAACUGAGACACGGUCCAUACUCCUACGGGAGGCAGCAGUAGGGAAUCUUCCACAAUGGGCGCAAGCCUGAUGGAGCAACACCGCGUGAGUGAAGAAGGGUUUCGGCUCGUAAAGCUCUGUUGUUGGAGAAGAACGUGCGUGAGAGUAACUGUUCACGCAGUGACGGUAUCCAACCAGAAAGUCACGGCUAACUACGUGCCAGCAGCCGCGGUAAUACGUAGGUGGCAAGCGUUAUCCGGAUUUAUUGGGCGUAAAGCGAGCGCAGGCGGUUGCUUAGGUCUGAUGUGAAAGCCUUCGGCUUAACCGAAGAAGUGCAUCGGAAACCGGGCGACUUGAGUGCAGAAGAGGACAGUGGAACUCCAUGUGUAGCGGUGGAAUGCGUAGAUAUAUGGAAGAACACCAGUGGCGAAGGCGGCUGUCUGGUCUGCAACUGACGCUGAGGCUCGAAAGCAUGGGUAGCGAACGGGAUUAGAUACCCUGGUAGUCCAUGCCGUAAACGAUGAGUGCUAGGUGUUGGAGGGUUUCUGCCCUUCAGUGCCGGAGCUAACGCAUUAAGCACUCCGCCUGGGGAGUACGACCGCAAGGUUGAAACUCAAAGGAAUUGACGGGGGCCCGCACAAGCGGUGGAGCAUGUGGUUUAAUUCGAAGCUACGCGAAGAACCUUACCAGGUCUUGACAUCUUGCGCUAACCUUAGAGAUAAGGCGUUCCCUUCGGGGACGCAAUGACAGGUGGUGCAUGGUCGUCGUCAGCUCGUGUCGUGAGAUGUUGGGUUAAGUCCCGCAACGAGCGCAACCCUUGUUACUAGUUGCCAGCAUUAAGUUGGGCACUCUAGUGAGACUGCCGGUGACAAACCGGAGGAAGGUGGGGACGACGUCAGAUCAUCAUGCCCCUUAUGACCUGGGCUACACACGUGCUACAAUGGACGGUACAACGAGUCGCAAGCUCGCGAGAGUAAGCUAAUCUCUUAAAGCCGUUCUCAGUUCGGACUGUAGGCUGCAACUCGCCUACACGAAGUCGGAAUCGCUAGUAAUCGCGGAUCAGCAUGCCGCGGUGAAUACGUUCCCGGGCCUUGCACACACCGCCCGUCA
rnacentral:rRNA from 1 species